UGGAAACAGAUGCUAAUACCGCAUAACAACUUGGACCGCAUGGUCCGAGUUUGAAAGAUGGCUUCGGCUAUCACUUUUGGAUGGUCCCGCGGCGUAUUAGCUAGAUGGUGAGGCAACGGCUCACCAUGGCAAUGAUACGUAGCCGACCUGAGAGGGUAAUCGGCCACAUUGGGACUGAGACACGGCCCAAACUCCUACGGGAGGCAGCAGUAGGGAAUCUUCCACAA
rnacentral:rRNA from 1 species